rfam:Pteropus alecto contig91936, whole genome shotgun sequence.
GUCUAUGGCCACGCCACCCUGAACGUGCUCGAUCCCAUCUGAUCUCGGAGGCUAAGCAGGGUCGGGCCUGGUUAGUACUUGGAUGGGAGACCACCUAGGAAGACCAGGUGCUGUAGGUG